UCGACAGCGACCCCAGGUCAGGCGGGAUCACCCG
rnacentral:rRNA from 2 species